UGUGUGUGGUGUGUGUGUGUUUUCUUCUCAGGGCCUAGCACAGUACUUUCCAACUUGAAAGCAUUGGAUGAUUCCUGUUGGUGUGGCUCUCACUCGAGAGGAAAAGCUUAGGGAACUUGAUUGUGUUCCGGGAAGGCUUCCUGUAAGAGGUGGCAUAAUGUUACUGUUAAUAAUUAUGACCAUUUGUUGUAUCAUAUAUACCACAUGCCAGUUACUCUGUUACCUACAUAGUCAGAGAUGCCACUUCUUGCUUACCAUCCUUACAUCUCCUUGUAUGUAGAGUCCAGGACUUCUACUUACUGACAGCUCUUGCUAAACAGCUAAGCAAGGAAUAACCAUGCAGCCCAUCUUUCACUUUAGGGCACAGCACCCAACCCAAGGCCACUACCUGUGAGUGAAUGGCCCAGCUUUAGUAGAUGAGGUGGACCAAUCCGAUCUGCUCUCCUUGGGAAUGUGAAAUAAGAGAUGCAGAGGGAUGUUGCCAGUUAGUUGUGGGGAGCUAAGCUGAGAGGUCCAGUACACCAAGAUGUUGGUUGGGUUGGGAGUGCUAUGGACUAGGUCAAGUGCCUGUUGAACAGCUAAAUGUAGUUGGCCAAGCAAGGAGCAUGGGGCAGUUGUGCAGAGAGAAGCAGGCAUGUAAUAUGGAUGAGCCAUAUGAACGGCAGACCUCUAGAGCAGAGAGGUUCAUGCUACAGCUAGACAUUUCCUCAAGCUCCAGGUACAAUAAGCUCUAUUUGAAUUCCUACCCUUGGAUUUCUGCAUCCUGAUCUCUCUUCAUUUGCUUUCUGUUUCUUGCAUCCAAAAGAGGCCCAACCCAAGCAACCCUUUCCAUAGAUUCCAUUUAAUUUGUGCUUCGUCCCCUCAGAGUGCUUCUUGCACAAUUAGAAAGAAUUUGUACUCUGAUGCCAAGUGGAGUCUUCUAAACAUCAGAGUCAGAGAAAAAUGCCAUGCUACACUAUGCAGCUGUGGAUGAAUAAGGACUCUUUAAUAGCUGCUGUGAACACAAACAAAAGCUUCUCAGCCCUGCAGAAAGACACUGAGAAACUUCUCCUACUCCUCCCACCCCAAGGAGCUACUUUUCUCACAAACUCCAGAGCUUUGUCCUCUUAUGCUAGAACUGACCUUGCUGCUUGAUGAGGCAGAGCCAUGAGGUCCCUGGUG